CUUGGUCAUUUAGAGGAAGUAAAAGUCGUAACAAGGUCUCCGUUGGUGAACCAGCGGAGGGAUCAUUACUGAAUGUUACCAAACAUAAACCCUUGUGAACCUUUUGUAUUUUCUGCCUUGGCAGGUAAUCCCAGGGCGGGAUUCUGGGCCUCUUCGGGGGCACCUGCCAGCGGUGGAACAUUUUUAUACUCUGAUUUACAGUGGAUUUCUGAGUGUCUUCCAAAAUAAAUCAAAACUUUCAACAACGGAUCUCUUGGUUCUGGCAUCGAUGAAGAACGCAGCGAAAUGCGAUAAGUAAUGUGAAUUGCAGAAUUCAGUGAAUCAUCGAAUCUUUGAACGCACAUUGCACCUAUUAGUAUUCUAGUAGGUAUGCCUGUUCGAGCGUCAUUUCAAACCUCAAGCGUCUGCUUGCUGUUGGAGCAUUGCGUACUUUUCUCUCUUAGGGAGGAAUUGCAAGCCCUGAAUUAUAGUGGCGGAGCUGCUGUAGACUCUGAGCGUAGUACUACUAAUCGCUUCUGAAAUCUCAGUGGUGCCUGCCGUAAAACCCACUAUAUUUUCUCUUUGUUUGACCUCGGAUCAGGUAGGAAUACCCGCUGAACUUAAGCAUAUCAAUAAGCGGAGGA
rnacentral:rRNA from 1 species